rnacentral:tRNA from 1 species
GCGGGGGUGCCGGAGUGGUCAAUCCUUUACGGGACCAAACGGGUACGGUUGAGGGCCGUAUGGCUUAGUGUCUGCGCGGGUUCAAACCCCGUCCCCCGCA